GACGAACGCUGGCGGCGUGCUUAACACAUGCAAGUCGAACGAAGAGCGAUGGAAGCUUGCUUCUAUCAAUCUUAGUGGCGAACGGGUGAGUAACGCGUAAUCAACCUGCCCUUCAGAGGGGGACAACAGUUGGAAAUGACUGCUAAUACCGCAUACGAUCUAAUCUCGGCAUCGAGGAUAGAUGAAAGGUGGCCUCUACAUGUAAGCUAUCACUGAAGGAGGGGAUUGCGUCUGAUUAGCUAGUUGGAGGGGUAACGGCCCACCAAGGCGAUGAUCAGUAGCCGGUCUGAGAGGAUGAACGGCCACAUUGGGACUGAGACACGGCCCAGACUCCUACGGGAGGCAGCAGUGGGGAAUCUUCCGCAGUGGACGAAAGUCUGACGGAGCAACGCCGCGUAAGUGAUGACGGCCUUCGGGUUGUAAAGCUCUGUUAAUCGGGACGAAAGGCCUUCUUGCGAAUAG
rnacentral:rRNA from 1 species